CUACGUGCCAGCAGCCGCGGUAAUACGUAGGUCCCGAGCGUUAUCCGGAUUUAUUGGGCGUAAAGCGAGCGCAGGCGGUUAGAUAAGUCUGAAGUUAAAGGCUGUGGCUUAACCAUAGUACGCUUUGGAAACUGUUUAACUUGAGUGCAGAAGGGGAGAGUGGAAUUCCAUGUGUAGCGGUGAAAUGCGUAGAUAUAUGGAGGAACACCGGUGGCGAAAGCGGCUCUCUGGUCUGUAACUGACGCUGAGGCUCGAAAGCGUGGGGAGCAAACAGGAUUAGAUACCCUGGUAGUCCACGCCGUAAACGAUGAGUGCUAGGUGUUGGGUCCUUUCCGGGACUCAGUGCCGCAGCUAACGCAUUAAGCACUCCGCCUGGGGAGUACGACCGCAAGGUUGAAACUCAAAGGAAUUGACGGGGGCCCGCACAAGCGGUGGAGCAUGUGGUUUAAUUCGAUGCAACGCGAAGAACCUUACCUACUCUUGACAUCCAUGGAAUCUUGUAGAGAUACGGGAGUGC
rnacentral:rRNA from 1 species